rnacentral:rRNA from 1 species
GAUGAACGCUGGCGGUAUGCCUAACACAUGCAAGUCGAACGGGCUUUUCGGAGCUAGUGGCGGACGGGUGAGUAACGCGUGAGAAUCUGCCUUCAGGAUGGGGAUAACAGGGAGAAAUCGCUGCUAAAACCCAAUGUGCCGAAAGGUGAAAUACUUGUAGCCAGAAGAGGAGCUCGCGUCCGAUUAGUUAGGUGGUGGGGUAAGCGCCUACUAAGGCAGCGAUCGGUAGCUGGUCUGAGAGGAUGAGCAGCCACACUGGGACUGAGACACGGCCCAGACUCCUACGGGAGGCAGCAGUGGGGAAUUUUCCGCAAUGGGCGAAAGCCUGACGGAGCUAUACCGCGUGAGGGAGGAAGGCUUUUGGGUUGUAAACCUCUUUUGUUAAGGAAGAAGAAAGUGACGGUACUUAAAGAAUAAGCAUCGGCUAACUCCGUGCCAGCAGCCGCCGUAAAAC